GGAAACAAAUGACGGAAGGGGGGAGGAAAGGAGAAUGAGUGUAUGUAUUUGCAUCGCAGAAUGAAACAGGUGCCAUUAUACCAGCACUAAUGCACCAGAUCCAAUCAGAACUUCGCAGUUAAGUGUGCUUGGGCGAGAGAAGUACUAGAAUGGGUGAACUCCUGGGAAGUCCUCGUGUUGCACCUAUUUUUUUACAGAUGGGUAGUUCGACGUUACGUGCAAUUGGAAAUAUGGUCCACUGGUUUAUUCGCAAAUAUGAGUCACGGCGCUGGGGUAUUUUACUUGAUAUUAGAACGAGAAGGAGAGGUGCAGUGUGCACGCACAAGGAAACAAAUGACGGGAGGGAGGAGGGAAGGAGAAGGAGUGUAUGUUUUUGCAGCACGGAAUGAAACAUGUGCGAUCAUGCCAGCACUAAUGCACCAGAUCCCAUCAAAAGUCCGCAGUUAAGUGUGCUUGGGCGAGAAUAGUACUAGAAUCGGUGACCUCCUGUAAAGUCCUCGUGUUGCACACAUUUUUUUGAAGAUGGGUCGUUCAACGUUACGUGCGACUAGAACUAUGGUCCGCUGGAUUAUUAACAAAUAAGAGUCGCGGCAACGGGGUAUUUUACUUGAUAUUAAAACGAGAAGCAAAGGUGAAGUGUGCACGCACAAGGAAACAAAUGACGGGAGGGGGGAGGAAACGAGAAUGAGUGUAUGUAUUUGCAUCGCAGAAUGAAACAGGUGCCAUUAUACCAGCACUAAUGCACCUGAUCCAAUCAGAACUUCGCAGUUAAGUGUGCUUGGGCGAGAGAAGUACUAGAAUGGGUGAACUCCUGGGAAGUCCUCCUGUUGCACCUAUUUUUUUGUAGAUGGGUCACUGGAUGUUACGCACGUUUGGAACUAUACUCCGCAGUUAAGUGUGCUUGAGCAGAGUAGUACUACGAUGGGUGACCUCCUUGGAAUUUCUCGUGUUGCACUUAUUUUUUUACAGAUGGAUCGUUCCACCUUAC
rnacentral:lncRNA from 1 species